UACGGAGGGUGCAAGCGUUAUCCGGAUUUACUGGGUUUAAAGGGUGCGUAGGUGGGUAGGUAAGUCAGUGGUGAAAUCUUCGAGCUUAACUCGGAAACUGCCAUUGAUACUAUUUAUCUUGAAUACUCUGGAGGUAAGCGGAAUAUGUCAUGUAGCGGUGAAAUGCUUAGAUAUGACAUAGAACACCAAUUGCGAAGGCAGCUUACUACAUAGUUAUUGACACUGAGGCACGAAAGCGUGGGGAUCAAACAGGG
rnacentral:rRNA from 1 species